UCAUUGGCUCCAGGACGAACGCUGGCGGCGUGCCUAAUACAUGCAAGUCGAGCGGACAGAAGGGAGCUUGCUCCCCGGAUGUUAGCGGCGGACGGGUGAGUAACACGUGGGUAACCUGCCUGUAAGACUGGGAUAACUCCGGGAAACCCGGAGCUAAUACCGGAUAGUUCCUUGAACCGCAUGGUUCAAGGAUGAAAGACGGUUUCGGCUGUCACUUACAGAUGGACCCGCGGCGCAUUAGCUAGUUGGUGAGGUAACGGCUCACCAAGGCGACGAUGCGUAGCCGACCUGAGAGGGUGAUCGGCCACACUGGGACUGAGACACGGCCCAGACUCCUACGGGAGGCAGCAGUAGGGAAUCUUCCGCAAUGGACGAAAGUCUGACGGAGCAACGCCGCGUGAGUGAUGAAGGUUUUCGGAUCGUAAAGCUCUGUUGUUAGGGAAGAACAAGUGCAAGAGUAACUGCUUGCACCUUGACGGUACCUAACCAGAAAGCCACGGCUAACUACGUGCCAGCAGCCGCGGUAAUACGUAGGUGGCAAGCGUUGUCCGGAAUUAUUGGGCGUAAAGGGCUCGCAGGCGGUUUCUUAAGUCUGAUGUGAAAGCCCCCGGCUCAACCGGGGAGGGUCAUUGGAAACUGGGAAACUUGAGUGCAGAAGAGGAGAGUGGAAUUCCACGUGUAGCGGUGAAAUGCGUAGAGAUGUGGAGGAACACCAGUGGCGAAGGCGACUCUCUGGUCUGUAACUGACGCUGAGGAGCGAAAGCGUGGGGAGCGAACAGGAUUAGAUACCCUGGUAGUCCACGCCGUAAAACGAUGAGUGCUAAGUGUUAGGGGGUUUCCGCCCCUUAGUGCUGCAGCUAACGCAUUAAGCACUCCGCCGGAGAUCGUCAU
rnacentral:rRNA from 1 species